rnacentral:rRNA from 1 species
UGGAGCCUGCGGUUUAAUCGGACUCAACGCCGGGAAACUCACCAGAUAAGACAGCUGAAUGAUAGUCGGGCUGAAGACUCUACUUGACUAGCUGAGAGGAGGUGCAUGGCCGUCGUCAGUUCGUACUGUGAAGCAUCCUGUUAAGUCAGGCAACGAGCGAGACCCACGCCAACAGUUGCCAGCUCGUCCUCCGGGAUGGUGGGGACAUUGUUGGGACCGCCUCUGCUAAAGAGGAGGAAGGAAUGGGCAACGGUAGGUCAGCAUGCCCCGAAUUAUCUGGGCUACACGCGGGCUACAAUGGGUGGGACAAUGGGUAUCGACACCGAAAGGUGAAGGCAAUCUCCUAAACCCAUCCGUAGUUCGGAUUGUGGGCUGCAACUCGCCCACAUGAAGCUGGAAUCUGUAGUAAUCGUGUCUCAAAAUGGCACGGUGAAUAUGUCCCUGCUCCUU